rnacentral:precursor_RNA from 7 species
UUGAUUUCUCCCCCAGGUGCUGCCUGGUCUUGGGAAAGUUCUCAGGCUUCUGAGAAUUUGCAGGAGCAGAAGGCUGUGAGGUUCCCCUCUUCCUGGCAGCCCUAAGAUCUGGGGAGCCAG